UAAUAUUUACAGGUCAAAGUACAGGAAAAUUAUGUAUUUAACUUUUAAUCUUCAUAGAACUCAUAUUAACAAUAGAUAUUCUGACCUGUUAGUGUGUGUGUGUGUGUGUGUGUGUGUGUGUGUGUAAUGAUCAAACUGCACUUCAGCAGGUAAACCUGAAACACCAACAGGCUGGAAAAACGAGGACAAACAGACGAGACAUUUUAAAUACAUAUAUUUUUAAAUAACAGUCACAGUGAACAAAAUAAUACAGAACUAAACAAAGGCUUUGAUUCCAAAAUGUUAAAUAUCCACUCAAAAUCAAUUAUUCAGUGUUUAUCGGCUUUAUUAUU